GUACUCGCUUCGGCGGUACAUAUACAUACUAAAAUUGGAGCGAUACAGAGAAGAUUACCAUGGCCCCUGAGCAAGGAUGACUCGCAAAAUCGUGAAGCGUCCACAUUUUUU